rnacentral:lncRNA from 1 species
AGUAUUAAACUUAUUUUAUAUUCUAACAGUAAAGUGUUAAAAUUAUUUUUUACAUGGUAUAAUAAAGUAUUAAUCUGUGUUUCAUUUAGUCUGAGUUAUCUGGCUGACUUUGUACUUUACACAGUAAUUUGUCUAAUUAUAACUAACAUUCAGCUGAUAUUCUCCUUGUAUAAAGGGAGAUAAUUCAACAAUGCAUAUAACAACCUGACCUCUGCUUGUAACUUUGAAUAAAUACUAAACUUUCAAAAAAUGAUUUCUUACAUUAUUGUAUAAAAGCUGCUGCAAAAUAAAAGACAACCAUAAAUUAACAUGCUGGUAUAGCAUAGACAAGACUGAAAAUAAUUUCAGUAUUUGAAUUAAAAUUAUGAAACUUCUAAAAUAAUCACAUCCCCAAAUUUUAUUUAUAUUUAAAAUAUUCACUUUUACUUGAGUAUUACAAAGAAAAAAUAAAAUCCAUUAAUAUAAUAUGGACAAAAAUAUUGCACAAUUUUC